AUAGUGUCACACUUUUAGCCACAGUGGGAGUUCCUAUGAGGAAUUGCAUUGUCUAUAUUUACAAAAAUGCAACCUUUAUUAGCUACUAUAUAGCUCGAACCCCUCCCGUUGUUGAUGGUUUGGCUAACUGGCCUGUGUAUUUUCAUAUGCUAGUGUAGGUUGUUUUAUGUAAAUAAACUCAUUAUAGAUACCAGGACUAAAUUUAGUAUAUACGCCAGACGCGCGUUUCGUCUACAACAGACUCGUCAGUUACGCAUCGUACUGUUUCCAAUUUUUAUAUUGUAGUUAGUCACAACUUGGGUUUUAUCAUGUAUGUCUUUUAUAUAGUAUUUUAUAAAAUUUGCUGUUGGCAAAAGUAUGACAUAUUCUAAAUAAUAAGGAUGUUCUGAUCCCAAACAGAAAACCCUGGUCGUAUUGGUCGCAACGUUUUGAAAGUUUUAGACUUUUGUGCUCUUCCACUUUGUACUUUUUCGCACUUUUUUCAUCUGAGUCACUGGUAAGACUUGUGUGGACGAAACGCUCGUCUGGUGUAUUAAAUUUUAAAUCUGGUACCGUUUGUAAGCUAUUAUUCUUUUUUUUUUUUUUUUUUUUUUUUUUUUUUUUUUUUUUUUCCAAGUAAAAAUAAUAAGCUAUUAUUCUAGUGUUUCUCUGUCCUAUAUGUUCUCCCAUUUAUUUGUAUUGUAGUCCUGUCAUGUAAUGUUGUCAUCUUAAUGUUAUAUUUAACAUUGUGAUAAAAGUGGGAGGUUUGGCAUGUCACAAAGAACAACCCACCAUUUCUGUCUUGAAAUGUCCUGUUCCAAGUCUAGAAAACUUUGUUAUAUUAUCUUUCUUUUCUGUGUGUUUUGCAUUUUAAUGUUGUAUUUCUGUUGUGUCGUAGUUUCCCCCUUAUAUGUGAUGAGUUUCUCUCAGUUUUAGUUUGUAACCUGGAUUUGUUUUGUUUUCUCAAACGAUUUAUGAAUUUCGAACGGCGGUAUACUACUGUUGCUUUUAUUUGAAUCAUCUAGAGUUUUCUUAACAAAAUGCCUGGACCACGUCGGGAUAUGACAGCUGUUUUCUAGCAUUGUCAGUUUUUAUGGGCUUUCUAUUUUUUUAUUUACCUUGGAGUUGUUUUGUUAUAAUUUUUUUCUUCAAACAUUCUGUUCAUAAGAUUGAUAGUGUAAGGAGUAUUUCAAAAAGGCAGUUGUACAUGGUGGAUUAAAACAAUGUAAAAUGAGAAACCAAGUAACAAAAUAACAAAUA
rnacentral:lncRNA from 1 species